UUGGAGGGCAAGUCUGGUGCCAGCAGCCGCGGUAAUUCCAGCUCCAAUAGCGUAUAUUAAAGUUGUUGCAGUUAAAGAGCUCGUAGUUGAAUUUCGGGAUCAAAUUGUUGGUCGUGCCUCGGUACGCACUGGUAUUAUUGGUUCCUACCUUCUGAAGAACCGCGAUGUCAUUAAUUUGGUGUCGUGGGGAAUCAGGACUGUUACUUUGAAAAAAUUAGAGUGUUUAAAGCAGGCUUACGCUUGAAUACAUUAGCAUGGAAUAAUGAAAUAGGACGUUUGAUUCUAUUUUGUUGGUUUCUAGGAUUGACGUAAUGAUUAAUAGGGAUAGUUGGGGGCAUUAGUAUUCAAUUGUCAGAGGUGAAAUUCUUGGAUUUAUUGAAGACUAACUACUGCGAAAGCAUUUGCCAAGGAUGUUUUCAUUAAUCAAGAACGAAAGUUAGGGGAUCGAAGACGAUCAGAUACCGUCGUAGUCUUAACCAUAAACUAUGCCGACUAGGGAUCGGAUGAUGUUAAUUUUUUAAUGACUCAUUCGGCGCCUUACGGGAAACCAAAGUGUUUGGGUUC
rnacentral:rRNA from 1 species